AGAAAAACUGUGAUGAAAGCUAGUAAGGGUUUUUAAGUUAAAGAGAAGGGGUAUAUUUGCUGAGAGUAUCCUGCAUAGAAGACCUUGAAUUUCACUUUCAGAGUUGCUGCCAGAAAUGGUGUGCCGGAUCAAUAUUCGUUAAAAUGUUAAGUGUCGGAAAAUUUUUUCCGGAACAAGGGUGGUACCGCGUGGCCUCGUCCCUUUA
rnacentral:ncRNA from 1 species